CAGGAGGGAAGAGGAAAGGGGACGAGGAAGGUGAGAGCCAGAGAGAGGCGGAGGGGAAGAGUGACGAGUGGAGGAGUUAUCGGUGGACACAGCAUCAUUGUAUGUGGUGCUGAGGAUCAAACCCGGGCCGCACGCAUGCCAGCUGGAUGUGUCACAGCAUGUAUCUGGCAACCUCCUGCCCGUCCUCUGUGGGCAGCGGCUCCGCUGGGCUCAUGAGUCUGAACAAAGUGGCUGUCAUCAGAGGCGAGAGAGGAGGCCCCUGAGUCCUUGCUGUUCCGAGAGCCUCCCGGACCCUGGUGCCCGCCUGUCCACUGCUACUGGGUCAGAAGCGCACGCCUCUCCUCAGUCCUCUGUCCCAGUCUGACCCGAGUCUUAGGUGACGCAGUUGGCCCCCAGCAGGGUCUGCUCUGACUCCUGCUUUCCCCUGGGUAAUGCCUCCAUGUGGCGACCAGAGCCGGUCAUCAGGGCCUGGUGGGGCCGUGGCCACCUUGCUGGCUGCCCGUCAGGUUUCUCCCGCUGCACAAGGGCCCUCUUUAUCCUCGGGCUGUGCUGGAGGCCUGCCCUCCUCCUGGGCCCAGUCUCCGCGGUCGCUCAGGUGGCCCCACCCUGGCCCUCGACGUGCAUUUUCCUUGGGCACUGAAGGUGACGUUCAGGUGCGGCUCUGGCCUCCCCCUCAGUCGGGGCUGAAGCACCCCUUUCUGGACCUCGAUUCAGGAAGAGCGUCAAAUGAGGACUGGUGAGGUUCUCACCAAGGGAGGAUCUACCAGUCCCUCUCCGUCUGUCUGCUGUCUCUCCACCCAUCCGUCCAUCUCUCUCGGUGGUAAUCUGCUCACCUCCAGAGGCACCGAGACGUAUUGCUGGGUUCAGCCUGAGUGGAGACAUCUCUAUUGGACCUGGCCCGCGUCUUUGGGCUCCCCAGGAAGAGGACCUUGAAGAAGCAUGGAGUGUGGUGGUGACAUGCUGGUGCCCCAGGACACAUGGCAGAGGCCUGGGGAUGGAGGCAGCCAGUAGCUGCACAAUGGCUGGCCAGUGACCUCCCAGGGUGACCAGGGUUCCUGGCAGUGGGGAGCGCGGGGAGCCUGGGUAGACCUGCCUCAGAGCCGCUCCAGGAGAGGGAGCCGGAGCCGGCUUGGCUCCCUGCGCCCCUCUGUCGUGGCCUCAGGGCUGCUUGUGGGUGUUACCCCUGACUCUGUCCUCUGCCCAGGCUGACAAGCCCCAGGGCCCAACACCGCAGGUGCCCACAGGAAGUGGCCUCCUCCAGCCAGGGGGUGAGGGCCGAGGGGGUGGCUGGGCACAGUGGCAUCUGCUGCACAUGGUUUGUACCCUUGUUGUUUUUCAAUAAGCCAGACUCUCUGUGCGAGGCCCUCAUAGGCUGCAGACGUGCUCGGCGCGCCCAGGGAGGACAGAAGUGUCAGCUGUUGGCACAGGGGACCGCUGAACCUGCAGGACAGGUGGCCAUGCAGGGUCUCUGCCCAGCCCCCAGAGGUCCUCUGGGCCCUGCCAGAUGACAAUGCCCUGCCAGGCUCCUGUCCCCAUUAUUGCAUGGGACUCAGUUAUACUAACACAACAUGUUGUGGCUUAUCUCACUCCCCCGCUCUCUGCUGAUGCUUUCUGGAAGCACCUCUCAAAUAAAGCCCUUGUGCCCAAAUAUUUGUCUGAGGGCGUUGUUCUUAAGGAUUUCCACUGUGGCAGGAUAACAGACCCCGAAGAUGCCCUAGGCACAUGCUUCUUUGCCCUUUCCUCCUCUCCUGGCCAGAAUGUGGGCGCAAUGGCUGGAACUGGAGCAACUCUUUUAGACCAUAAGGCAAGGCACUAAAUGGAACCAGAGAAUCAAGACUAAUCAGAAAACUGAGAAUGAGGCUCAGGAGAUAGGUGGCAACGAAGCAUUGGAGAGACUGGAUAUCACAGCGAAGCACAUUCUGGAAAGGCUGCAGCUGCUGUGUCGGCCGGCGCUGCACCCCUUCUCGCCUUGUCUGCUUGCUGGCGGUGCCAC